rnacentral:rRNA from 1 species
AUGUGGCUCCAUUCAAUGCAAUUAACCAUGACACUGGACCUAUUCAGCCUGCUGGGGGCUUAUGCUGCUGGAAGUUGCAGGACACUCAAGUCAUCCAUUUACAUCUUGGUUCUAGUCCUUGCUGUUAUCAUAUAUGUUGGGAUCCGUACCCUAGUAUCCACAAGGUUUAUUCCAAGAGAAUUGAAACAGAAUCUGCAGACAAUGAUAAAUAGUGUUCUAAACCAACAGAGUUCCCUUGGCAGGCAAGAGAGCAUCCCUCUAGAGACAGCCGUUGAGGAGGCUCGUAAGUUCAUUUUGACGCUUGUAAUUUUUGCUGCUACUAUCACAUACCAAGCAGGAUUGAAUCCACCGGGCGGCUUUUGGGCUGAAAAUGACCAUGGUUCUAAUAAAGUGCAUAUGGCCUUUCCUCCUUACAAGCAUCAUCCGAGUACUUCUGUUCUCCGGAGUAACUACCUUGGUCGUUAUAAUAUAUUCAUCAUUUCCAAUUCAACUUCCUUCGUGGCAUCUUUGGUCAUAAUCAUACUGCUUCUGAGCCCAAAACUGAGUGGACAUGGAAUAAGGACCAAAGCAGUGAUUGUAUGUGUGUUAGUGGACCUACUGUGCCUAAUUGUUGCGUAUGCUGCAGGAUGCUGUAGAGACUUAGCAACAUCAUUCUUUGUGGUGUCUAUUUUCUUCAUAGUUUGGAUCUCCUUUGCAAUUUUAGCUGGAUUCUUUGUUCAAGGACCUGUAGCAAAUUGGCUACAAAAGGUCAAAUCAAGCAGCCUGUGUUGUGUGAAAAAAAUGGGCUGUGCACUUUUGUUGAGCUUUCGUGACCACAGAUCGAUCAAUGCAGAGCAGGGGAAUUCUGUGCCAAGGAAUCAUCAAUCUCCAGCCCGUUCAUCUGAUGCACCUGCAGAAGAUAAUACCCCUGAGCAACAAGACCAGCCUGCAGACAAUCAUCAACAUUCAAAUAUCAGACAGGGUGAAUUCCAUGAGUUGCAUGUACCUCCAGAAAAAAAGUCAAAUUUCAGAUGUUCAAGAGGCUGUGUCUAA